GAAUUCUCAGUGGAAUCUCACUUCGUCUUUGCUUCCUGGUGCAUUUAACCAAGGCCGCAUUUCCCACUUUGGAGCAAGGAAGGCUCCAAAUGGAGCGGGGCUCCAGGUUGCAGAACGAGACUGUCUGACCUACAAAUGAGUGCCAGCAUUUAAAAGGAGAAUGAAAAGCAGAACGUUACAGUGUCUGUGCAAAUCCAUUAGCACUGCUGGAAACUGGCUGUGUCCUAUAGUAGAUUCUUGCCGAGAGAACUAUAAAAGGAUGGAGUCCAGCAAGAGGAAAAGUGAAUCGAAGGAAUGAAGUGGGAUACAAGCAAUAGUGGU